rnacentral:rRNA from 1 species
AUACGUAGGGUGCAAGCGUUAAUCGGAAUUACUGGGCGUAAAGCGCACGUAGGUUGUCCUGUAAGUCAGGGGUGAAAGCCCGCGGCUCAACUGCGGAACUGCCCUUGAUACUGCAGGACUCGGAUCCGGGAGAGGUCAGCGGAAUUCCAGGUGUAGGAGUGAAAUCCGUAGAUAUCUGGAGGAACAUCAGUGGCGAAGGCGGCUGACUGGACCGGCAUUGACGCUGAGGUGCGAAAGCGUGGGUAGCAAACAGGAUUAGAUACCCUGGUAGUCCACGCUGUAAACGAUGGAUGCUAGGUGUCGGGGCGCAAGCUCCGGUGCCGCAGCUAACGCAUUAAGCAUCCCGCCUGGGGAGUACGGUCGCAAGGCUGAAACUCAAAUGAAUCGGCGGGG